rnacentral:rRNA from 1 species
AGAACGAACGCUGGCGGCGUGGAUAAGACAUGCAAGUCGAACGAGCUUAGUUUUGUAGCAAUACAGAGCUGAGCUAGUGGCGAACGGGUGCGUAACACGUGAGCAAUCUGCCUUAAAGUGGGGGAUAGCUCGCCGAAAGGCGAAUUAAUACCGCAUGUGGUUGUAAAACCAAAGCCGGGGCAACCUGGCGCUUUUAGAGGAGCUCGCGGCCUAUCAGCUUGUUGGUGAGGUAACGGCUCACCAAGGCUUCGACGGGUAGCUGGUCUGAGAGGACGACCAGCCACACUGGAACUGAGACACGGUCCAGACACCUACGGGUGGCAGUAGUCGAGAAUUUUUCUCAAUGGGGGAAACCCUGAAGGAGCGACGCCGCGUGGAGGAUGAAUGCUUUCGGGUUGUAAACUCCUGUCAUUUGGGAACAAGCCUUACGUUAACUGCGUGGAGGUUUGAUAGUACCAGAGAGGAAGAGACGGCUAACUCUGCGCCAGCAGCCGCGGUAAU